rnacentral:tRNA from 1 species
GGCGGCGUAGCUCAGUUGGCUAGAGCGUACGGUUCAUACCCGUAAGGUCGGGGGUUCGAGGCCCUCCGCCGCUA